rnacentral:ribozyme from 1 species
AAGAGUAAGGCUCUGUUAAUGAGGUAGGAUCCGAGACUCCUUUCGGCGUUACACAGGCUCUCCUACCCAACUCCUAUUCCGUGUCACGUCCUCGUCGUACAGAGUGGUAACUUUCCCCACCACACAUCCAAGCUUGGGUACACGGGCCUAUCCCAACCCCUUGGGCGGAUGGUGGAGAAAGGCUAAUCAGGAGGGG